GACGAACGAGGGAGGAGGGAGGAACAAAGGCAAGUCGAACGGAAAGGCCCUGCUUUUGUGGGGUGCUCGAGUGGCGAACGGGUGAGUAACACGUGAGUAACCUGCCCUUGACUUUGGGAUAACUUCAGGAAACUGGGGCUAAUACCGGAUAGGAGCUCCUGCUGCAUGGUGGGGGUUGGAAAGUUUCGGCGGUUGGGGAUGGACUCGCGGCUUAUCAGCUUGUUGGUGGGGUAGUGGCUUACCAAGGCUUUGAAGGUCAGCCGGCCUGAGAGGGUGACCGGCCACAUUGGGACUGAGAUACGGCCCAGACUCCUACGGGAGGCAGCAGUGGGGAAUAUUGCACAAUGGGCGGAAGCCUGAUGCAGCAACGCCGCGUGCGGGAUGACGGCCUUCGGGUUGUAAACCGCUUUCGCCUGUGACGAAGCGUGAGUGACGGUAAUGGGUAAAGAAGCACCGGCUACCUACGUG
rnacentral:rRNA from 1 species